rnacentral:rRNA from 1 species
UCGAGGGGCAGCAUGGUUUGUAGCAAUACAGAUUGAUGGCGACCGGCGCACGGGUGAGUAACGCGUAUGCAACUUACCUAUCAGAGGGGGAUAGCCCGGCGAAAGUCGGAUUAAUACCCCAUAAAACAGGGGUCCCGCAUGGGAAUAUUUGUUAAAGAUUCAUCGCUGAUAGAUAGGCAUGCGUUCCAUUAGGCAGUUGGCGGGGUAACGGCCCACCAAACCGACGAUGGAUAGGGGUUCUGAGAGGAAGGUCCCCCACAUUGGUACUGAGACACGGACCAAACUCCUACGGGAGGCAGCAGUGAGGAAUAUUGGUCAAUGGCCGAGAGGCUGAACCAGCCAAGUCGCGUGAAGGAAGAAGGAUCUAUGGUUUGUAAACUUCUUUUAUAGGGGAAUAAAGUGGAGGACGUGUCCUUUUUUGUAUGUACCCUAUGAAUAAGCAUCGGCUAACUCCGUGCCAGCAGCCGCGGUAAUACGGAGGAUGCGAGCGUUAUCCGGAUUUAUUGGGUUUAAAGGGUGCGUAGGUGGUGAUUUAAGUCAGCGGUGAAAGUUUGUGGCUCAACCAUAAAAUUGCCGUUGAAACUGGGUUACUUGAGUGUGUUUGAGGUAGGCGGAAUGCGUGGUGUAGCGGUGAAAUGCAUAGAUAUCACGCAGAACUCCGAUUGCGAAGGCAGCUUACUAAACCAUAACUGACACUGAAGCACGAAAGCGUGGGGAUCAAACAGGAUUAGAUACCCUGGUAGUC